rnacentral:rRNA from 1 species
UAGCGGCGAACGGGUGAGUAACACGUGGGCAACCUGCCCUCAGCUCUGGGAUAACUCCAAGAAAUUGGUGCUAAUACCGGAUGUGACCGCUGACCGCAUGGUCUGGUGGUGGAAAGAUUCAUCGGCUGAGGAUGGGCCCGCGGCCUAUCAGCUUGUUGGUGGGGUAGUGGCCCACCAAGGCGACGACGGGUAGCCGGCCUGAUAGGGUGACCGGCCACACUGGGACUGAGACACGGCCCAUACUCCUACGGGAGGCAGCAGUGGGGAAUAUUGCGCAAUGGGCGAAAGCCUGACGCAGCGACGCCGCGUGAGGGAUGACGGCCUUCGGGUUGUAAACCUCUUUCAGUAGGGACGAAGCGAAAGUGACGGUACCUACAGAAGAAGCACCGGCCAACUACGUGCCAGCAGCCGCGGUAAUACGUAGGGUGCAAGCGUUGUCCGGAAUUAUUGGGCGUAAAGAGCUCGUAGGCGGUCUGUCGCGUCGGCUGUGAAAACCCGAGGCUCAACCUCGGGCCUGCAGUCGAUACGGGCAAACUAGAGUACUGCAGGGGAGACUGGAAUUCCUGGUGUAGCGGUGAAAUGCGCAGAUAUCAGGAGGACACCGUUGGCGAAGGCGGGUCUCUGGGCAGUAACUGACGCUGAGGAGCGAAAGCGUGGGGAGCGAACAGGAUUAGAUACCCUGGUAGUCCACGCCGUAAACGUUGGGCGCUAGGUGUGGGGGCCAUUCCACGGUCUCCGUGCCGCAGCUAACGCAUUAAGCGCCCCGCCUGGGGAGUACGGCCGCAAGGCUAAAACUCAAAGGAAUUGACGGGGGCCCGCACAAGCGGCGGAGCAUGUUGCUUAAUUCGAUGCAACGCGAAGAACCUUACCUAGGCUUGACAUGCACGGAAAUCUCGUAUAGAUACGGGGUGCCUUUGGCGUCGUGCACAGGUGGUGCAUGGUUGUCGUCAGCUCGUGUCGUGAGAUGUUGGGUUAAGUCCCGCAACGAGCGCAACCUCGUUCUAUGUUGCCAGCACGUGAUGGUGGGGACUCAUAGGAGACUGCCGGGGUCAACUCGGAGGAAGGUGGGGAUGACGUCAAAUCAUCAUGCCCCUUAUGUCUAGGGCUGCAAACAUGCUACAAUGGCCGGUACAAAGGGCUGCGAUACCGCGAGGUGGAGCGAAUCCCAAAAAGCCGGUCUCAGUUCGGAUUGGGGUCUGCAACUCGACCCCAUGAAGUUGGAGUCGCUAGUAAUCGCAGAUCAGCAACGCUGCGGUGAAUACGUUCCCGGGCCUUGUACACACCGCCCGUCACGUCACGAAAGUCGGUAACGCCCGAAGCCGGUGGCCCAACCCUU